GGCUCAGAACGAACGCUGGCGGCAGGCUUAACACAUGCAAGUCGAGCGCCUCGCAAGAGGAGCGGCAGACGGGUGAGUAACGCGUGGGAAUCUACCCAUCUCUACGGAACAACUCCGGGAAACUGGAGCUAAUACCGUAUACGUCCUUCGGGAGAAAGAUUUAUCGGAGAUGGAUGAGCCCGCGUUGGAUUAGCUAGUUGGUGGGGUAAUGGCCUACCAAGGCGACGAUCCAUAGCUGGUCUGAGAGGAUGAUCAGCCACACUGGGACUGAGACACGGCCCAGACUCCUACGGGAGGCAGCAGUGGGGAAUAUUGGACAAUGGGCGCAAGCCUGAUCCAGCCAUGCCGCGUGAGUGAUGAAGGCCCUAGGGUUGUAAAGCUCUUUCAACGG
rnacentral:rRNA from 1 species